rnacentral:rRNA from 1 species
UACAGAGGGGGCAAGCGUUGUUCGGAAUCACUGGGCGUAAAGCGCACGUAGGCGGACUCUUAAGUCGGUGGUGAAAUCCUGGAGCUCAACUCCAGAACUGCCUUCGAUACGGGGAGUCUCGAGUUCGGGAGAGGUGAGUGGAACUGCGAGUGUAGAGGUGAAAUUCGUAGAUAUUCGCAAGAACACCAGUGGCGAAGGCGGCUCACUGGCCCGAUACUGACGCUGAGGUGCGAAAGCGUGGGGAGCAAACAGG